rnacentral:rRNA from 1 species
AGCAGCCGCGGUAAUUCCAGCUCCAAUAGCGUAUAUUAAAGUUGUUGCAGUUAAAAAGCUCGUAGUUGAAUUUCGGGGUUCAUCCGUUGGUCGGGCUUUUUUGGUCUGUACUGGCGUGAUGGAUUCCUACCUUCUGAAUAACCGGCAUGCCAUUAAUUUGGUGCGCCGGGGAAGCAGGACUGUUACCUUGAAAAAAUUAGAGUGUUUAAAGCAGGCUUACGCUUGAAUACAUUAGCAUGGAAUAAUGAAAUAGGACGUAUGAUCCUAUUUUGUUGGUUUCUAGGAUUGACGUAAUGAUUAAUAGGGAUAGUUGGGGGCAUUAGUAUUCAAUUGUCAGAGGUGAAAUUCUUGGAUUUAUUGAAGACUAACUACUGCGAAAGCAUUUGCCAAGGAUGUUUUCAUUAAUCAAGAACGAAAGUUAGGGGAUCGAAGACGAUCAGAUACCGUCGUAGUCUUAACCAUAAACUAUGCCGACUAGGGAUCGGAUGAUGUUAAUUUUUUAAUGACUCAUUCGGCGCCU